rnacentral:rRNA from 1 species
UACGUAGGGUGCGAGCGUUGUCCGGAAUUAUUGGGCGUAAAGAGCUUGUAGGCGGUUUGUCGCGUCUGCUGUGAAAAUCCGGGGCUCAACCCCGGACUUGCAGUGGGUACGGGCAGGCUAGAGUGUGGUAGGGGAGACUGGAAUUCCUGGUGUAGCGGUGGAAUGCGCAGAUAUCAGGAGGAACACCGAUGGCGAAGGCAGGCCUCUGGGCCACUACUGACGCUGAGAAGCGAAAGCAUGGGGAGCGAACAGG